rnacentral:rRNA from 1 species
AACGAACGCUGGCGGCAGGCUUAACACAUGCAAGUCGAACGCCCCGCAAGGGGAGUGGCAGACGGGUGAGUAACGCGUGGGAAUCUACCCAUCCCUAGGGGAUAACACAGAGAAAUUUGUGCUAAUACCCUAUACGUCCUCCGGGAGAAAGAUUUAUCGGGGAUGGAUGAGCCCGCGUUGGAUUAGCUAGUUGGUGGGGUAAUGGCCUACCAAGGCGACGAUCCAUAGCUGGUCUGAGAGGAUGACCAGCCACACUGGGACUGAGACACGGCCCAGACUCCUACGGGAGGCAGCAGUGGGGAAUAUUGGACAAUGGGCGCAAGCCUGAUCCAGCCAUGCCGCGUGAGUGAUGACGGCCUUAGGGUUGUAAAGCUCUUCCACCCACGACGAUAAUGACGGUAGUGGGAGAAGAAGCCCCGGCUAACUUCGUGCCAGCAGCCGCGGUAA